rnacentral:lncRNA from 1 species
AAUUUAUUAACCAAGCCACCAUUAAAGUGGGUAAUAAAAUUUUGCAAGAAAAAAGGGUUUCUCUUUCCUUUAGUAGUAGCCGGCGCCGACGAGAUCAAUUGGUCGACUAACCACGGUAAAAACAACCACUAAUCUCGUCCCUGUUAACUAUCUGUUGGAGGAAACUGUAUGGGGUACUUCUUUACUAUACUACUGUAAUUUCGCAACUCCUUGUAAUUUUCUUAUUUUUGGACUUACACAUAAAACCCUUCGUGGAGAGAUUCGGCACAGACGAAGGAAUGUAUUGGGGCAUUUCGUGGUGGAAAAGAUAAUGUUAAUAUAAUUGGUGGAGGGAAAGGGAUCAGAUUAGG